CCCUUAGAUGUCCUGGGCCGCACGCGCGCUACACUGAGUGUCUGAGAUACGAGUCUGCCUGGUCCGGCAAGGUCUAGGUAAUCGCUAAAAGACACAUCAUGCUUGGGAUAGAUUAUUGCAAAUAUUAAUCUUGAACGAGGAAUUCCUAGUAAGCGCAAGUCAACAGCUUGCGUUGAUUACGUCCCUGCCCUUUGUACACACCGCCCGUCGCUACUACUGAUUGGAUGUUUAAGCGAGGUUCUCGAACUGCUAGCGACUUAGCUUCGGUGAGGUCGCAGUGUGGGAAGUGAACCUAGCUUUGGUGUCUAGAGGAAGUAAAAGUCGCAACA
rnacentral:rRNA from 1 species